AGAAUUUCAGAGGCAGCACUACGGCCAUUUGAUGGAGGUCUCACACCAGAGGCUCUCCGUUGCUGAAACUACAGUGCUUGCAGGAAAACUUGGACAAGGAGUGCCCCCCAAAAUAAUUCUGCAGAAAAUCCAGGCGUCCUCAUCCACAAACAGUGACCGGAUGAAUCUAGUCACAAGAGAGGACCUAUGGAACAUCAGCGAAAAAUUUAAGAUUACAAAACAAGAACAGCGACAUCCGGAUGACUUUAUAAGUGUUGAUAUGUGGAUAGCUGAAAUGACUGAAAAUAAUGGGGCAGAGGAUGCAAAUAAUGACCUAGUAGACUUAGAUGAAGCCAAUCAGAAAGAUAGACGCUGUCCUCUUCUUUACUACAAGAAGGUGGGAGACCCAAGGGAGAAUGACGGAAACUUUGAGCUUGCUUUAAUGACCUUCCCACAGAUGCAACUCCUGCGCAAGCUACGCACACAAAAACUCUGCAUUGAUUCCACACAUGGAACAAACAUAUAUAAUUCCCAAUUAACAACCCUGCUCACCAUAGCUGAAGAUGGAUCUGGAAUCCCAUGUGCUUACCUCAUAUCUAAGAGGGUGAAUACAGAAACUAUGGCAACAUUUUUUGAAACCAUCCAAAAAAAGGGUGGUGUCAUGCAGUACCAGGCAUUUAUGUCAGAUGAUGCUCCAGUCUAUGGGAAUGCAUGGGAGCAAGUGAUGGGGCCUUUGCCGAAGCGGCUGCCAUGUGCCUGGGAUAUGUUGUGUGAUUGGAACGCACACAUAAAUUCAAUUACCUACAAAUAGUGCAGAAGCACCGUGACAGACAUGUUACAUACUCUGAUGAAAUGCACGGAUGUGGCAGAGUUUGAGCAGAUGCAGAAGGCAUUUCUAAACUUUGGAUCAAAAGAGCGAGAAACAGAUAGCCUCACUCCCAAAGAGCUGGAACAACUUGAGAAGUUCAUGAAAUUUUUUUGCAAAGACCUGUACUACAAGAGCACACCAAUGGGCUUACUGCUACCGGAGCAAUGUUGGCCUGACUACGAACAAUCACAUAGAGUCUAUGCAAAGCUCUGAAAUAUUCUUACUUUGCUGGCAAGGUAAACCAGCGGCUUGACAGGCUACUACUAGUAUUAUUUAGCUUCACAGCAGACAAAUUAUUCAGUAGGGCGAUCGCACUUGUGAAAGGCAAAGGAGACCAUCGAAAGACUGCGAUUUUCAAGAAGCACAAAGCAGGACAUGAAAUUCUGCCAUCAAACAUAGUAAAACUUGGAGAUGGUCAGUGGAAAGUAGAAUCGCAAAGCAAGACUGACUCCCACUACACUGUAGAAAGGACACAAGUGAUUUACACUGGCUGUGAGCUCCACUGCAAGCAAUGCGAAGCUUGCCAUCACAUGUACGCAUGCACACAUCUUGAUCAUGUAAUGCAUGCACACCUGUGCAAGCACACUCAUGGAGUCGCUUCAGUGGAGGUGCAGUCUUGCAAGCCGCAGCAAAAUUCAGCCAGCUGUGUAGCGUUCCCUCAGAGCAGUGUGGGUGAAAGCUGCUCAAUGAUUAAUGACCAGUUGCCUUAUGGAGAGUGCUCAGAUAAUAAUACAGGGCACAAAGCAGCAUUCGAGCGAACAAUUAAGAGCCAAAAAACUCAAGUCAUUUAAAGUCCAAGCAGAAGCCACUUUUCAAGGGCUAUUGAAAAAGCUCCCUUCAGUUACAUCAGAAGAGCUAGAAAGCAUGCAAGAAGACCUAGAUAAAUAUGCUGCGAAGCAUAAGCUUGCAAAUCCAGAACAGCCCUGAGAAAGAUGACCUGAUCUGGUGCCCGCCAACAAAAACGCUGAAAAGCAGCCGAGACAUGUAGCACCAAAAUGCAGCAAACGUAAACCUGCACUUGGUCAUCCUCCCACAAUGCUGCAGCAAGACGCCAUCAACCGGCGGCUUCUGUCCCAAGAUCAAGAAGAAGAAAUGUUAAUCAUACACACAGGGAACGACCAUGAUUAUUGCAGACCACAAACUCAUUAAACAACCUUCAUGUUAGCCUGUGGUGAAAAUUAAGAAGUACCAUCAAAUCUUAUACUCUCUUAUAUGAAACGUGGAGGCAACUCUGGGUGAUUGAUAGAUUUAUAUGUGGGGUUUAAGGUCCCAAAACCACCAUAUGAUCAUGAGAGACGCCAUACAGGAGGGCUCCAGAAAUUUUGACCACCUGGGGUUCUUUAACGUGCACCCAAAUCUAAGCACGCGGGCCUACAGUAUUUUUGCCCUCAUUGAAGAUUCAGCAGCCACAGCCAGAAUUCGAUCCCGCGACCUGCGGGUCAGUAGCAGAGUACCUUAGCAACUAGACCACCGCGGCAGGGCACAACUCUGGAAGAAUUUUUGCUUGGGAAUCUAUUGAGACACAGUGCUUCACAUGCGUACCCGUCGAUUGCACAGUCCAGUGUUGCAAGAACCUACUUGGCACUGAUGCAUCUCUGCUUUUACGUAUGCCCUUUGAGACUGAGAACCUAUGCUGGGUGGUGGAAUUCUGCAUGAAAAAAAUUUUAUUUUCAACUGACACUUUUACAAGCAGCAGUUCGGAACAGCAAUGGAAGCUUUUGUUUCUGUGCUUUCUGGUCUGUGCAAACAUCGCCCUUGAACCAUGAAACAAAAAAUAAAAGAAUAAUUGCCUUCCUCAAUGUUCUUGUAAGACGGUCAGCCAAAGGGCUUAUAACCAGUGUGUAUCUAAAGUCGACCCACAUGGGUAGAUACCUAAGGUUAGACACUCAGUUGCCGCAGCUCUUCUUUCUCGCGCAAUGUGCAUCUGCUCUGAGCCUGGUCUGCGCAAGCGAAAGCUAGCUGUGGUAAGGAAAGACCUCUGCAACAAUGGCUACCCCUCACAGGUCCUGAGGACUCAACAAUUGCGGUCUUCAGUUGCUUGCCCUGAAGAGGUUCGUGAAGCUGACAGGCGAAAACGUGCUGCUGUACCCUAUGCGCAAGGCGUCAGUGAGGCGCUUGAAAGAGUGUAUGGCACAUAUGGUGUAAAAAUCACUUAUGUGCCGACCACCAAGCUAAAGCAGAAACUCGCACGUGUGAAAGACCGUCUGCGAAACUCAAGAUUUCCAGGGGGUUAUCUACAAGAUACCAUGCAAAGAUUGUGACGCAUCCUACGUAGGUGAAACUGGAAAUUUUAAAAGAAGAAUCCAGCAGAACCAGAACCAUGUCAAGAAAGGCAAUGCAAGCUCGAACAUCUCGGCGGAUUAUCAUUUGAACAGUAACCACAUCAUCGGCUGAGAUUCUGCGAGCAUAAUUGCAACAGAGAAGCGCCUGUCAACACAGCUACUUUUAGAAUCAUUGCACAUUCAAACGACGAAAAAUACAAUUAACCGGACACAGGGUAAUGUCCCAGAGAUAUAUAUACGCAUUCUGCCCCACCCAUUCCAUAGUCACGCCCUCUUGCAUGCUCUUCAUUGUGAACAAGGGACCUGUAGUGUCCUUGAAACGUCAAUAUGUGUGUGUGUGUGUGUUUUUUUCGGACAAGGCGAGUGCCUCUUAUUUUUUCCAAAGAACUUCAGAAACAUGUAUGUACUUACUAUGCAAGGCCCCUUUUCAGUUUUUUUUUUUUAUUCUAACGAUUUUUUUUUUUGACAAUGAAAGUGCAAAUGGCUCUCUUGAACAAUUUCGUGGCAUCCCUCCGCCUCUAUAAAAGACCCCUAGCACCCCCAGGCACAGUGCAUGAGCUGAGCACAUAAUUCAUCCUUGGAUCAUUCAUGCAAGAAAAAAAAGAACGCGUGUGCGGCCAUGUGUCCACUUCUUAUUCAUGGAAUUUGUGCUAGUGAAAAAAAAAGAUGUAUUUCAAGCAUCAGGUUCUCUAAUAAUUGCAGAGAUUUAACAUUCCAAAAGCACAAUGCAAUUAUGAAGGACGAAGUAGAUAGUAAAGGGCUCCUGAAAAUUCAACUAGCUUUAACGUGCAACUAGAUCUAGGUACACAGGCCUCAAGCAUUUCUGCCUCCAUUAAAAAUGCAGCCAUAACAGUCGAGAUUCGAUGCUACUACCUUCGGCUUGGCAGACGAGCAUUAUAACUGCAAGACCACAUGCACCAAGUGCUACUGCUACAAUGAAGAUGCUCUGCCAGUGCUGUCUUGAAACAUUUUUCUGUGCGAACGUUACAACUUACAACAAAACACUAUGCUUUUAUGAAUUCCUUGUACAAUUCCCAGAGAAUAUAUGGGGUUUUGUGUCCCAAAAUCACAAUAUGAGAGAUGCCGUCAUGGAGGACUAGGGAAACUUUGAUCAUCUAGAGUUCAUUAACGUGCACUGAGAUCCCAUAUUACACAAGUCUCUACUACUUUGCCUUUACCGAAAUGUGACCGCCACAGCCGGAAUCGAACUCGUGACCUUCGCAUCAGCAGCCGAGUACCUUAGCCACUGAUCCACUGUAGCGCACCAAUUCCCAAAGAAGACUUCAAAUCCAUCUACUCCAGGGUCACCCAUCUUCACACAGUGCAAUGGUUCCAAUGUAUUUUCAAUAUUUCUUUCAUAUUUAUUUUCUGUUGUGGCCAUGCAAAGUGCAUCUACAGGCAACUGUUCUAUCUUUAAUACAUUAUACUUGUUUUUUUAUUGUUUAUAAUGAAUAUGUUUUAAUGGUCAAUGUUCUAGAGUAAUACAGCCGGCCUCAAUGAAAGACUAUACUUGUGUGGCUUGAGGCAUGCUAGGAAAAUCUAUUGCGUUGUCCAUUCUUUCUAUUCUUUACUUUUAUCAUUUAUCUGUGCAUAAUGCAAGUAUUUAUCAGGCACUUGUUCGUCAUCUAUACAUGAUCAUCAUCACUUGUCGGGACACAUCUUGAGAUAGUUCUGUGCCUCAAACCUGAUUGUUUCACUUCUAUGUCACAAUAUUCUUUUCUGUAUGGGUGAUGAUGAAGUAAUCAUGCCAGCCUCUAGAAGCAUAAGCCAAGGUGAAUGUGCACCUAAAAAUUCCAUUCAAAAAGUCUCAACAAACUAGUAAUCAGACGAGUAGACUACAUAACCUUAAUGACUGGCUGGUGACAGUCACUAUAGCAGAGUUGACAUUUUUUGAACUUGCAGAUAGUGACCCAGUACUUACCUAUUAAAUAUAUUAAGAUAUCAAAGCAGCUCACAAGAGAAUGCAAUGUAUAAAAGAAAUGAGGUACACUCACAUUUUGUUCACUGCAUAUUGUCACUGCUUUUUGAAAGGACAACCAUGUUAAUCUAGCGUGAACAGCUCUAGACUUGCAAUGUCCUUUCUAUUCAGUUUUACUUGCAAAUACCACAAUCUGAUUAUGAGGGAUGUUCUAGUGUAGGCCUCCAGAUUCACCCAAGAAUUUCUAACGUGCAGUGUAACGCAAGAAAAGUGGUAAUUUUGGAUUUUUAUUUUGAUUGUACCACGGCUGCCGCUGUGAUUUCAUUCUGCGGCCUCGACAUGAGCAUCGAGAAGAAGUGACACUAGAAUCCUGUUCACGAAUUCAUCUUUAUUAGACCUCUCAAGAAUGACAGCUUGAUGGGCGAAAGUUCAAAAUCAUUUGUGAGUGUUUUCCAUGCCCUUUUAUUUUGUUGUGCUGUGGAAUAAGUCUUGCUGCAAAUGUACUUGCACGUAGAUACAUCUUGUGCGCAAAUAUCUUGUGCUUGGAAUAUGUUUAUGACGUAUGAAAUUAUUGUAUUGUUUUUGUGUGUAAGAAAAUGUAACGAAUGUGUGACUGCCUCCCCCCCCCCCCCCAAAAAAUCUUCACAGAUUACUGCAGUGAACGUGCUUGUCCUCUCAAUUCUUUUGAUUAAAAUUCACUUACGAAAAAAUCAGUGCAUGCACACAAUCAUUUCUAAGGAAACAGGCCUAUUAUAUAGUUCCAUCAAGAUGCGCUGCAUCAUGUGUAAGAUGUCAUGAAUAAAUCCAUGAUGAACUAUGAACUGAACAUUU
rnacentral:lncRNA from 1 species